GAGAAGAACCAACAGGGAUUGCCCUAGUAACGGCGAGUGAAGCGGCAACAGCUCAAAUUUGAAAUCUGGCUUCGGCCCGAGUUGUAAUUUGCAGAGGAUGUUUCUGGCGCGGUGCCUUCCGAGUUCCCUGGAACGGGACGCCAUAGAGGGUGAGAGCCCCGUAUGGUUGGAUACUAAGCCUGUGUGAAACUCCUUCGACGAGUCGAGUAGUUUGGGAAUGCUGCUCAAAAUGGGAGGUAAAUCUCUUCUAAAGCUAAAUAUUGGCCAGAGACCGAUAGCGCACAAGUAGAGUGAUCGAAAGAUGAAAAGCACCUUGAAAAGGGGGUUAAACAGUACGUGAAAUUGUUGAAAGGGAAGCGCUCAUGACCAGACUUGUGCUGGGCAGCUCAUCCGGGGUUCUCCCCGGUGCACUCUGCCCAGUUCAGGCCAGCAUCGAUUUUUGCUGGGGGAUAAGAACGGUAGGAACGUGGCCCUCCUUCGGGAGGGUGUUAUAGCCUGCCGUACGAUACCCUGGCGGAGAUCGAGGUUCGCGCAUCUGCAAGGAUGCUGGCGUAAUGGUCAUCAGCGACCCGUCUUGAAACACGGACCAAGGAGUCGUCCAUUAGAGCGAGCGUUUGGGUGUAAAACCCGCACGCGUAAUGAAAGUGAAAUUAGGUGAGAGCUUCGGCGCAUCAUCGACCGAUCCUGAUGUUCUCGGAAGGAUUUGAGUAAGAGUUUUAACGGACGGACCCGAAAGACAGUGAACUAUGCUUGUAUAGGGUGAAGCCAGAGGAAACUCUGGUGGAGGCUCGCAGCGGUUCUGACGUGCAAAUCGAUCGUCAAAUAUGAGCAUGGGGGCGAAAGACUAAUCGAACUGUCUAGUAGCUGGUUACCGCCAAGUUCCCC
rnacentral:rRNA from 1 species